rnacentral:lncRNA from 1 species
CCCCCCGCCAAGGCUAUAGCCCACCCUUUUUUUGGCCAUUUUUCCGCUGGGGGGUCUUGGGACCCCGACCUUCGGGGGCUGUUUUUUGGGCGCGGCUGUGCCCGUGGCCUAUUUUUGGCACACGGAGGCCGCCCGCCAAGUCUGGGGCCAUUCCGAGUCCGGCGGACGAACUUCGCCCACGCCCCCCACAUAGGCUAUAGCCCACUCGUUUUUUGGCCAUUUUUCCGCUUGGGGGUCUUGGGACCCCGACCUUCGGGGGCUGAUUUUUGGGCACGGCUGUGCCCGUGGCCUAUUUUUGGCACACGGAGGCCGCCCGCCAAGUCUGGGGCCAUUCCGAGUCCCGCGGACGUACUUCGCCCACGCCGCCCACCAGGGCUAUAGCCCACCCGUUUUUUGGCCAUUUUUCCGCUGGGGGGUCUUGGGGCCCCGACCUUCGGGGGCUGAUUUUUGGGGCGCGGCUGUGCCCGUGGCCUAUUUUGGGAACACGGAGGCCGACCGCCAAGUCUGGGGCCAUUCCGAAUCCGGCGGACGAACUUCGCCCACGCCGCCCACCAAGGCUAUAGCCCACCCUUUUUUUGGCCAUUUUUCCGCUGGGGGGUCUUGGGACCCCGACCUUCGGGGGCUGAUUUUUGGGCGCGGCUGUGCCCGUGGCCUAUUUUUGGCACACGGAGGCCGCCCGCCAAGCCUGGGGCCAUUCCGAGUCCGGCGGACGAACUUCGCCCACGCCCCCCACCAAGGCUAUAGCCCACCCGUUUUUUGGCCAUUUUUCCGCUGGGGCGUCUUGGCUCGCCGACCUUCGGGGGCUGAUUUUUGGGCGCGGCUGUGCCCGUGGCCUAUUUUUGGCAUACGGAAGCCGCCCGCAAAGUCUGGGGCCAUUCCGAGUCCGGCGGACGAACUUCGCCCACACCCCCCACCAAGGCUAUAGCCCACCAAUUUUUUGGCCAUUUUUCCGCUGGGGGGUCUUGGCGCCCCGACAUUCGGGGGCUGAUUUUUGGGCGCGGCUGUGCCCGUGGCCUAUUUUUUGCACACGGAGGCUGCCCGCAAAGUCUGGCCCCAUUCCGAGUCCGGCGGACGAACUUCGCCCACACCCCCCACCAAGGCUAUAGCCCACCCGUUUUUUGGCCAUUUUUCCGCUGGGGUGUCUUNNNNNNNNNNNNNNNNNNNNNNNNNNNNNNNNNNNNNNNNNNNNNNNNNNNNNNNNNNNNNNNNNNNNNNNNNNNNNNNNNNNNNNNNNNNNNNNNNNNNNNNNNNNNNNNNNNNNNNNNNNNNNNNNNNNNNNNNNNAUAGCCCACCCUUUUUUUGGCCAUUUUUCCGCUGGGGGUUUUGGCAACCCCGACCUUCGGGGGUUGAUUUUUGGGCGCGGCUGUGCCAGUGUUCUAUUUUUGGCACACAGAGGUCGCCCGCAAAGUCUGGGGCCAUUCCGAGUCCGGCGGACGAACUUCGCCCACGCCCCCCACCAAGGCUAUAGCCCACCCGUUUUUUGGCCAUUUUUCCGCUGGGGGCCUUGGCACCUGGACCUUCGGGGGCUGAUUUUUGGGCGCGGCUGUGCCCGUGGCCUAUUUUUUGCACACGGAGGCCUCCCGCCAAGUCUGGUGCCAUUCCGAGUCCCGCUGACGAACUUCGCCCACGCCCCCCACAUAGGCUAUACCCCACCCAUUUUUUGGCCAUUUUUCCGCUGGGGGGUCUUGGGACCCCGACCUUCGGGGGCUGAUUUUUGGGCGCGGCUGUGCCCGUGGCCUAUUUUUGGCACACGGAGGCCGCCCGCCAAUUCUGGGGCCAUUCCGAGUCCCGCGGACGAACUUCGCCCACGCCCCCCACCAAGGCUAUAGCCCACCCGUUUUUUGGCCAUUUUUCCGCUGGGGGGCCUUGGGACCCCGACCUUCGGGGGCUGAUUUUUGGGCGCGGCUUUGCCCGUGGCCUAUUUUGGGAACACGGAGGCCGCCCGCCAAGUCUGGGGCCAUUCCGAAUCCGGCGGACGAACUUCGCCCACGCCCCCCACCAAGGCUAUAGCCCACCCGUUUUUUGGCCAUUUUUCCGCUGGGGGGUCUUGGGACCCCGACCUUCGGGGGCUGAUUUUUGGGCGCGGCUGUGCCCGUGGCCUAUUUUUGGCACACGGAGGCCACCCGCCAAGUCUGGGGCCAUUCCGAGUCCCGUGGACGUACUUCGCCCACGCCGCCCACCAAGGCUAUAGCCCACCCGUUUUUUGGCCAUUUUUCCGCUGGGGGGUCUUGGGACCCCGACCUUCGGGGGCUGAUUUUUGGGCGCGGCUGUGCCCGUGGCCUAUUUUGGGAACACGGAGGCCGCCCGCCAAGUCUGGGGCCAUUCCGAAUCCGGCGGACGAACUUCGCCCACGCCCCCCACCAAGGCUAUAGCCCACUCGUUUUUUGGCCAUUUUUCCGCUGGCGGGUCUUGGGACCCCGACCUUUUGGGGCUGAUUUUUGGGUGCGGCUGUGCCCGUGGCUUAUUUUGGGAACACGGAGGCCGCCUGCCAAGUCUGGGGCCAUUCCGAAUCCGGCGGACGAACUUCGCCCACGCCCCCCACCAAGGCUAUAGCCCACCCGUUUUUUGGCAAUUUUUCCGCUGGGGGGUCUUGGGACCCCGACCUUCGGGGGCUGAUUUUUGGGCGCGGCUGUGCCCGUGGCCUAUUUUGGGAACACGGAGGCCGCCCACCAAGUCUGGGGCCAUUCCGAAUCCGGCGGACGAACUUCGCCCACGCCCCCCACCAAGGCUAUAGCCCACCCGUUUUUUGGCCAUUUUUCCGCUGGCGGGUCUUGGGACCCCGACCUUUUGGGGCUGAUUUUUGGGCGCGGCUGUGCCCGUGGCCUAUUUUUGGCACACGGAGGCCGCCCGCCAAGUCUGGGGCCAUUCCGAGUCCCGCGGACGAACUUCGCCCACGCCCCCCACCUAGGCUAUAGCCUACCCGUUUUUUGGCCAUUUUUCCGCUGGGGGGUCUUGGGACCCCGACCUUCGGGGGCUGAUUUUUGGGCGCGGCUGUGCCCGUGGCCUAUUUUUGGCACACGGAGGCCGCCCGCCAAGUCUGGGGCCAUUCCGAGUCCGGCGGACGAACUUCGCCCACGCCCCCCAACAAGGCUAUAGCCCACCCGUUUUUUGGCCAUUUUUCCGCUGGGGGGUCUUGGGACCCCGACCUUCGGGGGCUGAUUUUUGGGCGCGGCUGUGCCCGUGGCCUAUUUUUGGCACACGGAGGCCGCCCGCCAAGUCUGGGGCCAUUCCGAGUCCCGCGGACGAACUUCGCCCUUGCCCCCCAGAUAGGCUAUAGCCCACCCGUUUUUUGGCCAUUUUUCCGCUGGGGGGUCUUGGGACCCCGACCUUCGGGGGCUGAUUUUUGGGCGCGGCUUUGCCCGUGGCCUAUUUUGGGAACACGGAGGCCGCCCGCCAAGUCUGGGGCCAUUCCGAAUCCGGCGGACGAACUUCGCCCACGCCCCCCACCAAGGCUAUAGCCCACCCGUUUUUUGGCCAUUUUUCCGCUGGGGGGUCUUGGGACCCCGACCUUCGGGGGCUGAUUUUUGGGCGCGUCUGUUCCCGUGGCCUAUUUUUGGCACACGGAGGCCACCCGCCAAGUCUGGGGCCAUUCCGAGUCCCGCGGACGUACUUCGCCCACGCCGCCCACCAAGGCUAUAGCCCACCCGUUUUUUGGCCAUUUUUCCGCUGGGGGGUCUUGGGACCCCGACCUUCGGGGGCUGAUUUUUGGGCGCGGCUGUGCCCGUGGCCUAUUUUGGGAACACGGAGGCCGCCCGCCAAGUCUGGGGCCAUUCCGAAUCCGGCGGACGAACUUCGCCCACGCCCC